AUUGAACGCUGGCGGCAUGCCUUACACAUGCAAGUCGAACGGUAACAGGUCUUCGGAUGCUGACGAGUGGCGAACGGGUGAGUAAUACAUCGGAACGUGCCCGAGAGUGGGGGAUAACGGAGCGAAAGCUUUGCUAAUACCGCAUACGAUCUACGGAUGAAAGCAGGGGACCGCAAGGCCUUGCGCUCAUGGAGCGGCCGAUGGCAGAUUAGGUAGUUGGUGGGAUAAAAGCUUACCAAGCCGACGAUCUGUAGCUGGUCUGAGAGGACGACCAGCCACACUGGGACUGAGACACGGCCCAGACUCCUACGGGAGGCAGCAGUGGGGAAUUUUGGACAAUGGGCGCAAGCCUGAUCCAGCCAUGCCGCGUGCAGGAUGAAGGCCUUCGGGUUGUAAACUGCUUUUGUACGGAACGAAAAGACUCUGGUUAAUACCUGGGGUCCAUGACGGUACCGUAAGAAUAAGCACCGGCUAACUACGUGCCAGCAGCCGCGGUAAUACGUAGGGUGCAAGCGUUAAUCGGAAUUACUGGGCGUAAAGCGUGCGCAGGCGGUUAUAUAAGACAGAUGUGAAAUCCCCGGGCUCAACCUGGGAACUGCAUUUGUGACUGUAUA
rnacentral:rRNA from 1 species